rnacentral:rRNA from 1 species
UACGAAGGGGGCUAGCGUUGUUCGGAAUCACUGGGCGUAAAGCGCGCGUAGGCGGAUCGUUAAGUCAGGGGUGAAAUCCCGAGGCUCAACCUCGGAACUGCCUUUGAUACUGGCGAUCUGGAGUCCGGGAGAGGUGAGUGGAACUCCUAGUGUAGAGGUGAAAUUCGUAGAUAUUAGGAAGAACACCAGUGGCGAAGGCGGCUCACUGGCCCGGUACUGACGCUGAUGCGCGAAAGCGUGGGGGAGCAACAGG